UUAAGACUUGCAGUGAUGUUUAGUUAAAAUCUUUUCAUGAACAUCACUUUAAGUCUGUACU
rnacentral:pre_miRNA from 2 species